rnacentral:sRNA from 20 species
AUAUAAGAUGGACAUAUAUAACUAUUUAUCAAGAAAGCGCACGUAGACUGAUUAUAUCACCGUGUCUGUUUUUGCGCAAUAUAAAAAGAACCUGGCCUAAUUGGCCAGGUUCUUUCUUA